UGGGGAAUAUUGGACAAUGGGCGAAAGCCUGAUCCAGCCAUGCCGCGUGUGUGAAGAAGGUCUUCGGAUUGUAAAGCACUUUAAGUUGGGAGGAAGGGCAUUAACCUAAUACGUUAGUGUUUUGACGUUACCGACAGAAUAAGCACCGGAUAACUCUGCGCCAGCAGCCGCGGUAAUACAGAGGGUGCAAGCGUUAAUCGGAAUUAAUGGGCGUAAAGCGCGCGUAGGUGGUUUGUUAAGUUGGAUGUGAAAUCCCCGGGCUCAACCUGGGAACUGCAUUCAAAACUGACUGACUAGAGUAUGGUAGAGGGUGGUGGAAUUUCCUGUGUAGCGGUGAAAUGCGUAGAUAUAGGAAGGAACACCAGUGGCGAAGGCGACCACCUGGACUAAUACUGACACUGAGGUGCGAAAGCGUGGGGAGCAAACA
rnacentral:rRNA from 1 species